GUUUCCUAAGAGCAAAGGUUGGCUAGAGAGGUCUGACUGAACACAAGCACACACACUACCUCCCUACUUCCUGCCUCAAAUCUCCUUACACAAUACAUUCUGUCAGUGGGCAUUUGAUAUGUACAUAUGAAACCCACAAAAACAGGAACACAAUAAAGAGGGCCACCAGAAGACCAGAAGGAUACAGGAAUUCCUGGAGGAUAGAAAGCAGACGGAUCCGAUUGACAGCAAACCUGGGGCAAAGACGAUCACAGCUUAACCAAAGUCUCAGACAUGAGUGUGCAGAAGCCAUCUUGGAGCCUCCAGACCAGUCCAAAUGACAAGUAGAUACCACCAAGUGACCCUGUCAAUGUCAUGUGAAAAAGAAGAAUUGCUUAACUGGGCU
rnacentral:lncRNA from 1 species